rnacentral:rRNA from 1 species
GAUGAACGCUGGCGGCGUGCCUAAUACAUGCAAGUCGAGCGAACAGACGAGGAGCUUGCUCCUCUGACGUUAGCGGCGGACGGGUGAGUAACACGUGGAUAACCUACCUAUAAGACUGGGAUAACUUCGGGAAACCGGAGCUAAUACCGGAUAAUAUAUUGAACCGCAUGGUUCAAUAGUGAAAGACGGUUUUGCUGUCACUUAUAGAUGGAUCCGCGCCGCAUUAGCUGGUUGGUAAGGUAACGGCUUACCAAGGCAACGAUGCGUAGCCGACCUGAGAGGGUGAUCGGCCACACUGGAACUGAAACACGGUCCAGACUCCUACGGGAGGCAGCAGUAGGGAAUCUUCCGCAAUGGGCGAAAGCCUGACGGAGCAACGCCGCGGUAGUGAUGAAGGUCUUCGGAUCGUAAAACUCUGUUAUUAGGGAAGAACAAAUGUGUAAGUAACUAUGCACGUCUUGACGGUACCUAAUCAGAAAGCCACGGCUAACUACGUG